AACAUGGUCAUCUCUGAACAACCUCUACCAAACUUGGAAAACUCAACUGAGACCAAUCUCCCAUCUGACCAGCUCAACAACCCCCAUCGCCUCCCCACGUCUUAUAACAUCAACUCUCUCUUCCGCAACCCAAUGAAUAAAAUAGACUAUAUAUGCUGGAAGUGUCAUUUCCUUGGAGUGUUAAAGCUCCACGAUCUCUCCGCCAUCAUCGACGAACCAGACCAGAAACCAGAGAGCACAACAAGAGAAAGUAACCCUGAAUAUUGAAACUGGGUCAAAUCGGACCAGCUAGUCCUUACCUGGAUCCACUCUACAGUCUCUUCAUCCGUCCAGG
rnacentral:lncRNA from 1 species